rnacentral:lncRNA from 1 species
CAAUUAUUUAUCUUACACAGUUUAAAAAAAAAAACAAUUUAAAAUUCAGAAAUAAAGUUAUUCAUUUUAAAAAUCAAUCUACCAAAUCUAUAGACCUUUUCAAGUGCACCUUUGGCUUUGGGUCCAGGGUGUUCUUGACUUUUGAUUGUAUUUAAAUUGAAGUUGUGUAGGACUCUUUGUAAACAACAAAUGCUGGCAUGAAUAUAUCAUACUUGUAUUAGUGACUUAAUCACAA